CCUACGGGUGGCAGCAGUAGGGAAUAUUGCUCAAUGGGGGAAACCCUGAAGCAGCAAAGCCGCGUGGAGGAUGACGGUUUUCGGAUUUUAAACUCCUUUUGUUAGAGAAGCUAAUGACGGUAUCUAACGAAUAACCACAGUCUAACUCCGUGCCACCAGCCGCGGUAAUACGGAGGGUGCAAGCGUUACUCGGAAUCACUGGGCGUAAAGCGCGUGUAGGCGGGAUAGCAAGUCAGAUGUGAAAUCCGAUGGGUUAAACAUAGAACUGCAUUUGAAACUGUUAUUCUAGAGUAUGGGAGAGGUAGGUGGAAUGCUUGGUGUAGCGGUGAAAU
rnacentral:rRNA from 1 species